GCGCCCGUAGCUCAAUUGGAUAGAGCGCUAGCCUCCGGAGCUAGAGGUUGUGGGUUCGAUCCCCGCCGGGCGCG
rnacentral:tRNA from 1 species